ACCGAAUAAUAUCAGGUGUCGAUAGGCAUCUGAUCAAUGAUUUAUCGGCAUAAGAGCGGCCUACCUCCUAUCAGCUUGUUGGUGAGGUAAUGGCUCACCAAGGCUCUGACGGGUAGCGGGACUGAGAGGUUGGCCCGCCACAUCGGGACUGAGACACUGCCCGGACCUCCACGGAGGGCUGCAGUAACGAAUCUUGCGCAAUGGGCGAAAGCCUGACGCAGCGACGCCGCGUGCGGGAAGAAGUCCUUAGGGAUGUAAACCGCUGUCAGGGGGAAGAAAGUGCGCUCCGGCGUAUUGAUCUAACCCAAAGGAAGUCACGGCUAACUUCGUGCCAGCAGCCGCGGUAAGACGAAGGUGGCUAGCGUUGUUCGGUAUUACUGGGCUUAAAGCGUGUGUAGGCGGAAGAGUAAGCGUCUUGUGAAAUCCCUCGGCUUAACCGAGGAAUUGCUUGGCGAACUGCUUUUCUUGAGGCAAGUAGGGGUGCAUGGAACUCUUGGUGGAGCGGUGGAAUGCGUAGAUAUCAAGAGGAACGCCGGUAGUGAAAACGGUGCACUGGGCUUGUUCUGACGCUGAGACACGAAAGCGUGGGUAGCGAACGGGAUUAGAUACCCCGGUAGUCCACGCCGUAAACGAUGCCUACUAGGUUGUGGUGGUUCUGACACCAGCACAGCCGAAGCAAAAGUGUUAAGUAGGCCGCCUGGUGAGUACGGUCGCAAGGCUAAAACUCAAAGGAAUUAACGGGGGCUCACACAAGCGGUGGAGCAUGUGGAUCAAUUCGAAACAACGCGUAGAACCUUACCUGGGUUUGACAUGCUUGGAUACUUGCCUGGAAACAGGUUAAGUUGCCCUUCGGGGUGAAACUUGCACAGGUGCUGCAUGGCUGUCGUCAGCUCGUGUCGUGAGAUGUCGGGUUAAGUCCUUUAACGAGCGAAACCCUUGCCGUUAGUUGCCAGCGGGUCAUGCCGGGGACUCUAGCGGACUGCCGGUGUUAAACCGGAGGAGGGUGGGGACGACGUCAAGUCAUCAUGACCUUUAUGCCCAGGGCUUCACACGUGCUACAAUGGUCGGUACAGAGCGACGCGAGACCGUGAGGUGGAGCAAAUCGCAAAAAGCCGGCCCCAGUUCGGAUUGCAGGCUGUCAACUCGCCUGCAUGAAGUUGGAAUCGCUAGUAAUCGCGUAUCAGCUAUGACGCGGUGAAUGUGUUCCUGAGCU
rnacentral:rRNA from 1 species